UGGGGAAUAUUGCACAAUGGGCGCAAGCCUGAUGCAGCCAUGCCGCGUGUGUGAAGAAGGCCUUCGGGUUGUAAAGCACUUUCAGCGAGGAGGAAGGUGGUGAGCUUAAUACGCUCAUCAAUUGACGUUACUCGCAGAAGAAGCACCGGCUAACUCCGUGCCAGCAGCCGCGGUAAUACGGAGGGUGCAAGCGUUAAUCGGAAUUACUGGGCGUAAAGCGCACGCAGGCGGUUUGUUAAGUCAGAUGUGAAAUCCCCGGGCUCAACCUGGGAACUGCAUUUGAAACUGGCAAGCUAGAGUCUCGUAGAGGGGGGUAGAAUUCCAGGUGUAGCGGUGAAAUGCGUAGAGAUCUGGAGGAAUACCGGUGGCGAAGGCGGCCCCCUGGACGAAGACUGACGCUCAGGUGCGAAAAGGCGUGGGGCAGCAAACAGGAUUAGAUACCCUGGUAGUCCACGCUGUAAACGAUGUCGAUUUUGGAGGUUGUGCCCUUGAGGCGUGGCUUCCGGAGCUAACGCGUUAAAGUCGACCGCCUGGGGAGU
rnacentral:rRNA from 1 species